ACCUAACAAACCCAGCUGCUCUCUCUCCUCUCCCUCUCAUCACUUUCUUUUCUCCUUCCUAGCUGCCACCAUUAUUUCCGAUGGCUUACCCAUUCGUCGAAUGCAGUUCAAGCGUCCACCAUGGAAGCUCAAAUGGCGAGGCAUGGCGGUGACAGGGACGGAAAUCAAUGAAGGAGAGAGAGAAUAAUGCUUGUGUGGGGCUCAAACUUUUCCUGCCAUCUUUGGCGAUUUCGACGAUUGUUGGACGUAAGGUCACUAACGCUAGAAUCCUUAUGCCAUGGGUGUUAUUUUGGGACCUCAUUCGCUGAUUUUCAUAGAGUUUUCUGCCGAGGAAGAAGGGAGAGAAACAAUACAUUUUUGGCGAGAUUCCUAACA
rnacentral:misc_RNA from 1 species